ACAGUUGCUCACAGGAAGCAGUGAGGUCUCUGCUUCAGAAAGAAACGGAAGUGGCAAAGAACAUACCUACAAGCAUGACUGUACCAUGGAAAUGAACUGAAAUCAACUGCAUGCUGAGUUCCUUCAUGCCUCAAUUCCUCCAUCUACAAAUUGCACCAUAGAUGGUCUAAAAUAAAACUGGAGAAAGACUGUUGCAUCAGCUGCUGUACUCCCACUUUUAAGAUGGGCAAGGAGAUGAAUAUGACCACCUGCAUUUGGAUAAAAAAACAUGGGAACAGCUGAUGUCUUUCCUAUUAGUAAAAGAAGACUGAGAGCAAAC